rnacentral:ncRNA from 1 species
UGUCCUCAGUCCCGGGUCGUCUCGGCGCGGUUCCGAGCGGUCGCUCCCUCGCGAGGUGCCGCGGGUCAGCGGCUGACGCCAGCCACCUUCCCGACCCGUCUUGAAACACGGACCAAGGAGUCUAACAUGUGCGCGAGCCGCGGGGCAGUACGUUUUUUCGUAAGGCGAAAUGAAGGUGAACGCCGGCGCGGUCCGGCGGAGGUUGGAUCCCGUCCCGUCGGGGCGGGCGCACUACCGGCCGAUCUUCUCCGCCCUGUCGGCGAGGUCGAGCGAGAGCGUGCAAGUCGGGACCCGAAAGAUGGUGAACUAUGCCUGAGGAGGUUGAAGCCAGAGGAAACUCUGGUGGAGGACCGUAGCGAUUCUGACGUGCAAAUCGAUCGUCAAAUUUGGGUAUAGGGGCGAAAGACUAAUCGAACCGUCUAGUAGCUGGUUCCCUUCGAAGUUUCCCUCAGGAUAGCUGGCGCUCUGUCGCAGUUUUAUCUGGUAAAGCGAAUGAUUAGAGGUCUUGGGGGCGAAACGCCCUCAACCUAUUCUCAAACUUUAAAUUGGUAAGAAGCC